CCUACGGGAGGCAGCAGUGAGGAAUAUUGGUCAAUGGACGGGAGGCUGAACCAGCCAAGUCGCGUGAGGGAAGACGGCCCUACGGGUUGUAAACCUCUUUUGUCAGGGAGCAAGGUGCAGGUCGGGACCUGCUGUGAGAGUACCUGAAGAAAAAGCAUCGGCUAACUCCGUGCCAGCAGCCGCGGUAAUACGGAGGAUGCGAGCGUUAUCCGGAUUUAUUGGGUUUAAAGGGUGCGCAGGCGGAGGCACAAGUCAGCGGUAAAAUCGCGGGGCUCAACCCCGCUCCGCCGUUGAAACUGUGGCCCUUGAGUGCGCGAAGGGUAGGCGGAAUGCGUGGUGUAGCGGUGAAAUGCAUAGAUAUCACGCAGAACUCCGAUCGCGAAGGCAGCCUACCGGCGCGCAACUGACGCUCAUGCACGAAAGCGUGGGUAUCGAACAGGAUUAGAUACCCUAGUAGUC
rnacentral:rRNA from 1 species